AAAGGCCUAACAUAAGUCUAGCUUUUACUUUUUUUUUUUACUACAACGUUCUAUUACUACACUCCUCUCCUCCUUCCUUGGGUCUCUCUCUCAGUGGCAUCAUCAUCAACCACUAGAGCAGCUGUUCCAUAUAGAAAUUUGUGGAUUGGUGCCACAAACCUGAGGAUGGACAAGAAGAGAGGAGAAGGAAAGGAUCCAAGUGAAAAGGAGAAAGAGGGCACAGUGUUAAAUUCAAACCUGAGGCUCAUCAAACGCAGCAAUUCUUAACCACUGACUCUUCCGUUCUGAAGAGGUGUUGCAUCCCAUGGGCUUCAAGGCUGCAACCAUUGUUGAUAAUGAACUUGCAAUUGGAGCUUGGAAGGGAAGAGAAAAGUUUGGAAGAUGGAAGAGGUCUGCAACCCAAUCCUAAUGAUGAUUGUCAUUUCCUCCCAAGGAGACUUUGAAGAUCAAUAUAAUUAAUCUCUUUGCUAUAUAAGAGCCACUCCAACCAUUGUAAAUUUCCCAUGGAACCUUUUUUAUAAAAACAAUUGUUAAGAUGUUAUAAUACUUUUGAUGCAACAUGCACGUUCUCUA